AGAGUUUGAUCCUGGCUCAGAGCGAACGCUGGCGGCAGGCCUAACACAUGCAAGUCGAACGCACCCUUCGGGGUGAGUGGCGGACGGGUGAGUAACACGUGGGAACGUGCCUUUUGGUUCGGAAUAACUCAGGGAAACUUGUGCUAAUACCGAAUGUGCCCUUCGGGGGAAAAGAUUUAUCGCCAAAAGAGCGGCCCGCGUCUGAUUAGCUUGUUGGUGGGGUAAAGGCCCACCAAGGCUACGAUCAGUAGCUGGUCUGAGAGGAUGAUCAGCCACAUUGGGACUGAGACACGGCCCAAACUCCUACGGGAGGCAGCAGUGGGGAAUCUUGCGCAAUGGGCGAAAGCCUGACGCAGCCAUGCCGCGUGGAUGAUGAAGGUCUUAGGAUUGUAAAAUCCUUUCACCGGGGACGAUAAUGACGGUACCCGGAGAAGAAGCG
rnacentral:rRNA from 1 species